rnacentral:misc_RNA from 1 species
AUGUAGGUAUACACGUUCUUAUAAACAAUAUACAGAUAACACAAUCGAUUUUGGACACCAUGGCCCUCGCAACCGGCAUGUCAUUACGCUUUCACCAAUACUUAUGCCUUAGCGGCUACUACGUAGACUCUGCCGCGACGGGCAUUAGCAGCGACGGCGAUGUUGGCAGCGGCAGCGACAGCGGUAAUGGCAGCAACGAAACGCUUGCCAGUUAAGCACAGAACAAAGUCGCAUAGAACAGCAGUAACAUAUCGUUGGCGUCGUCGGUAUUACCGAAUCAACUAGCAAGCGGUCACAACGUAUCGGCCGAGGUAGAAUUAAGAGGGAAUAUUUACAAUUUUAUGCAAAACAUAAACUCAUUGCACACCAUAUAAGUAGAAUAGAAAGAAAGCGUGGCUGGUAUGAAAUUGAAGAACUUUAAAUGCUAAAACGGUAAUAACCACUACAAACGGUAAUAACCACUACAAACGGUAACAACCCCUACAAACGUGACGAUAUGGUACCUUAAUGUAUCUAUUGAUCGAAAAAUACGGCAAUAUACAUACAUAUAUGUACGUGCAUAUGCUGACCUAGCCGAAGGUAAAAUGUAUCUGUCGAUGAUUGGACCAGUUAUUCAACGCGAAAGCUAAAGUUGAGUGAAUAAAUACUCAAGUAGCUACAUAUGUAUGUAUGCACAUAUCGUACGUUUAAUAACAUAGAGAAUUAUUUCAAAAUUUAAAUUUUAUGGGAAAACGCAAUCAUAGUUCGUUUAGUUCAUACAAUUGGUAUACCAAAAGACAGAUGGAAAGACGCAUAUCUUCAUCAUUUUUGGGAAGUUUAGUCAUCUGUUAGACUAAGAAUAUUCUCCUUAGUCUGUGUUUAUACGCGGAAACUUUUGUCGACGCUAUUUUUCAUUUUCCCUUUUGGUGUUGCUCGUUCCUUUUACACACGGCGAUUUUUUUGUAUGCAAUUGUUUUUGUCAGCUGUGAACCCAUGAACCAAAAAUACAAUAUCACGUAAGAACGCGACGUUGUAUUUGUAACUUGUUUUGAGAAAAAGAUUCAUGGAAUAGGGUUCGUCAGCUGAGCGUUUGUUUACAUCACAAGCACCACAAUUUAUACUUUUAUUUAACUAAAGAAGAGUUAA